AGUGAACGCUGGCGGUAGGCCUAACACAUGCAAGUCGAACGGCAGCACAGGAGAGCUUGCUCUCUGGGUGGCGAGUGGCGGACGGGUGAGGAAUACAUCGGAAUCUACUUUUUCGUGGGGGAUAACGUAGGGAAACUUACGCUAAUACCGCAUACGACCUACGGGUGAAAGCAGGGGACCUUCGGGCCUUGCGCGAUUGAAUGAGCCGAUGUCGGAUUAGCUAGUUGGCGGGGUAAAGGCCCACCAAGGCGACGAUCCGUGGCUGGUCUGAGAGGAUGAUCAGCCACACUGGAACUGAGACGCGGUCCAGACUCCUACGGGAGGCAGCAGUGGGGAAUAUUGGACAAUGGGCGCAAGCCUGAUCCAGCCAUACCGCGUGGGUGAAGAAGGCCUUCGGGUUGUAAAGCCCUUUUGUUGGGAAAGAAAUCCAGCUGGCUAAUACCCGGUUGGGAUGACGGUACCCAAAGAAUAAGCACCGGCUAACUUCGUGCCAGCCGCCGCGGUAA
rnacentral:rRNA from 1 species